rnacentral:rRNA from 1 species
UUUGGUAAUGGCGAAUGAAGAAGGAUAAGCUCCAUUGGUAAUCUGCACUUCAUGUGUAGACUUGUAUUUUUAAAAAGCAAUGCUAUUGGAAGUGUGUAUGUAAGACAUGUGGGAAAAUGUUGCAAAGAAGGUGAAACUCUUGUGUGUCAUGCGCAAGCUUUCAUGCAAAGCAUGCUUUUGAAAAUCGCAUUCUUUGGAAUUGGAAUGCAAAGUAGGUGGUAAAGUUCACUUGAAGCUAAAUAAAUGUUUGAGCUUGAUAGUGUAUAAGUACCAUGAGGGAACUGUGAAAAGAACUUUGGAAAGAAAGUUAAAAGUAUUUGAAAUUGCUGGUGGGAAAGCAAAUGGUAUGAUACUGUGCAGUAAGAUUGCAGCUUGCAAGCAAUAGGCAUUCUGUAUGCAAUGCGUGUAGAAUUGUCUGUUGCAAGCACACUGUGCAUCUUGCUGUGCAUGCCAACAUUGAAAUGCAUGUCAAUGCUAACUGCAUGGGUAACUUGCAUAGUGUGUGCUAGAGCCAUGCCUUGAUAUAGCAUGCAUUUUCUUUUCAGUUGUUACCUGGUCUGGACUUCUUCAAGGAUAGACCUGGUUCAAUGCAUGCAUGUGAUUAUUCAUUUGGCCCGUCUUGAAACACGGAUCAAGGAGUCUAACACAUGUGCAAGCCUGUUGGUAAUUCGUUGGGGUGUAAGGAAAGUGACAGCUAGGAUGUGUGCACUGUCAGCCAACUGACCAAUUGUGAGAGGUUUGUGUUUGAGCAUUUGUAUUAGGACCCGAAAGAUGGUGAACUAUGCUUGAAUAAUGCAAAUUCAGGAGAAAUUCUGAAGGAAGCUUGCAGCGGUACUGACGUGCAAAUCGUUCGU